rnacentral:rRNA from 1 species
UACGGAGGGUGCAAGCAUUAAUCGGAUUUAUUGGGCGUAAAGGGCGCGUAGGCGGGGAUGUAAGUCAGAUGUGAAAUCCCGGAGCUCAACUCCGGAACAGCAUUUGAAACUGCGUCUCUUGAGGGUAGGCGGGGAAAAUGGAAUUCCACAAGUAGCGGUGAAAUGCGUAGAUAUGUGGAAGAACACCAGUGGCGAAGGCGGUUUUCUAGCUUAUUCCUGACGCUAAUGCGCGAAAGCAAGGGGAG